rnacentral:rRNA from 1 species
GAUGAACGCUGGCGGCGUGCUUAACACAUGCAAGUCGAACGAAGCUGCCUGGAGGAAGUUUUCGGAUGGAAUUUAGGUAGACUUAGUGGCGGACGGGUGAGUAACGCGUGGAUAACCUGCCUUAUACAGGGGGAUAACGGAGAGAAAUUUCCGCUAACACCGCAUAAGACCACAGCACCGCAUGGUGCAGGGGUAAAAUAUUUAUAGGUAUAAGAUGGAUCCGCGUCCGAUUAGCUAGUUGGUGAGGUAAAGGCCUACCAUGGCGACGAUCUGUAGCUGGUCUGAGAGGAUGAUCAGCCACACCGGGACUGAGACACGGCCCGGACUCCUACGGGAGGCAGCAGUGGGGAAUAUUGGACAAUGGGGGAAACCCUGAUCCAGCCAUGCCGCGUGUGUGAAGGAGGCCUUUUGGUUGUAAAGCACUUUAAGCAGUGAAGAAGACUCUUCGGUUAAUACCCGGAGACGAUGACAUUAGCUGCAGAAUAAGCACCGGCUAACUCUGUGCCAGCAGCCGCGGUAAUACAGAGGGUGCAAGCGUUAAUCGGAGUUACUGGGCGUAAAGCGAGCGUAGGUGGCUUGAUAAGUCAGACGUGAAAUCCCCGGGCUUAACCUGGGAACUGCAUCUGAUACUGUUAGGCUAGAGUAGGUGAGAGGAAGGUAGAAUUCCAGGUGUAGCGGUGGAAUGCGUAGAGAUCUGGAGGAAUACCGAUGGCGAAGGCAGCCUUCUGGCAUCAUACUGACACUGAGGCUCGAAAGCGUGGGUAGCAAACAGG